rnacentral:rRNA from 1 species
CGCUGGCGGCGUGCUUAACACAUGCAAGUCGAACGAUGAAGCCCAGCUUGCUGGGUGGAUUAGUGGCGAACGGGUGAGUAACACGUGAGUAACCUGCCCUUAACUCUGGGAUAAGCCUGGGAAACUGGGUCUAAUACCGGAUAGGAGCGCCUACCGCAUGGUGGGUGUUGGAAAGAUUUAUCGGUUUUGGAUGGACUCGCGGCCUAUCAGCUUGUUGGUGAGGUAAUGGCUCACCAAGGCGACGACGGGUAGCCGGCCUGAGAGGGUGACCGGCCACACUGGGACUGAGACACGGCCCAGACUCCUACGGGAGGCAGCAGUGGGGAAUAUUGCACAAUGGGCGCAAGCCUGAUGCAGCGACGCCGCGUGAGGGAUGACGGCCUUCGGGUUGUAAACCUCUUUCAGUAGGGAAGAAGCGAAAGUGACGGUACCUGCAGAAGAAGCACCGGCUAACUACGUGCCAGCAGCCGCGGUAAUACGUAGGGUGCGAGCGUUAUCCGGAAUUAUUGGGCGUAAAGAGCUCGUAGGCGGUUUGUCGCGUCUGUCGUGAAAGUCCGGGGCUUAACCCCGGAUCUGCGGUGGGUACGGGCAGACUAGAGUGCAGUAGGGGAGACUGGAAUUCCUGGUGUAGCGGUGGAAUGCGCAGAUAUCAGGAGGAACACCGAUGGCGAAGGCAGGUCUCUGGGCUGUAACUGACGCUGAGGAGCGAAAGCAUGGGGAGCGAACAGGAUUAGAUACCCUGGUAGUCCAUGCCGUAAACGUUGGGCACUAGGUGUGGGGACCAUUCCACGGUUUCCGCGCCGCAGCUAACGCAUUAAGUGCCCCGC